rnacentral:rRNA from 1 species
GGAAGAGAGUGGCCGAGGGCGGGGGGGAUACGUAGGGGGGAAGUGUGGUCCGGAAUGAGUGGGCGUAAAGCGCGGGCAGGCGGGCCUUUAAGGCUGAUGUGGAAGCCCACGGCUCAACCGGGGAGGGUCAUUGGAAACUGGGGGACUUGAGGGCAGAAGAGGAAAGCGGAAUUCCACGUGUAGCGGUGAAAUGCGUAGAGAUGUGGAGGAACACCAGUGGCGAAGGCGGCUUUCUGGUCUGUAACUGACGCUGAGGCGCGAAAGCGUGGGGAGCAAACAGGAUUAGAUACCCGAGUAGUC